UACAGAGGGGGCAAGCGUUGUUCGGAAUUACUGGGCGUAAAGGGCGCGUAGGCGGCCUGUUAAGUCGAACGUGAAAUCCCCGGGCUCAACCCGGGAACUGCGUCCGAUACUGGCAGGCUUGAAUUCGGGAGAGGGAUGUGGAAUUCCAGGUGUAGCGGUGAAAUGCGUAGAUAUCUGGAGGAACACCGGUGGCGAAGGCGGUUGCCUGGGGCUUUGCUGACGCUGAUGCGCGAAAGCGUGGGGAGCGAUCCGG
rnacentral:rRNA from 1 species